rnacentral:rRNA from 1 species
CAAUAGCGUAUAUUAAACUUGUUGUGGUUCAAGAGCUCGUAGUUGGAUUUCUGCUGGGCACGACCGGUCCGCCCUCCGGGUCGGCACCUGGUUCGGCAUUGGCAUUUUCUUGGCUAACGUAGAUGCACUUGACUUUGUGGUGCGGUACCCAGGACUUCCACUUUGAUGGGAUUUUAAAUGUUUCAAGCAGGCAUACGCCUUGAAUACAUCAGCAUGGAAUAGUAAGAUAGGGCCGCGGUUCUAUUUUGUUGGUUCCCAGAGCUGAGGUAAUGCUUAAUAGGGAUAGUUAGGGCAUUCGUAUUCGAUUAUCCCAGGUGGAACCCUUGGAUUUGUCAAAGACGGACUACUGCGAAAGCAUUUGCCAAGGAUGUUUUCAUUGAUCAAGAACGAAAGUUAGGGGAUCGAAGACGAUCAGAUACCGU